rnacentral:rRNA from 1 species
GAACGGAGAAUUGCUAGCUUGCUAAUAAUUCUCUAGUGGCGCACGGGUGAGUAACACGUGAGUACCUGCCCCCAAGAGUGGGAUAGCCCCGGGAAACUGGGAUUAAUACCGCAUAAAGCAAUAAAGCAGCAAUGCGCUUGGGGAUGGGCUCGCGUCCUAUUAGUUAGUUGGUGAGGUAACGGCUCACCAAGGCGAUGACGGGUAGCCGGUCUGAGAGGAUGUCCGGCCACACUGGAACUGAGACACGGUCCAGACACCUACGGGUGGCAGCAGUCGAGAAUCAUUCACAAUGGGGGAAACCCUGAUGGUGCGACGCCGCGUGGGGGAUAAGGUCUUCGGAUUGUAAACCCCUGUCAUGUGGGGCAUUAAAAGAUAGUACCACAAGAGGAAGAGACGGCUAACUCUGUGCCGGCAGCCGCGGUAAUACAGAGGUCUCAAGCGUUGUUCGGAAUCACUGGGCGUAAAGCGUGCGUAGGCGGUUUCGUAAGUCGUGUGUGAAAGGCGGGGGCUCAACCCCCGGACUGCACAUGAUACUGCGAGACUAGAGUAAUGGAGGGGGAACCGGAAUUCUCGGUGUAGCAGUGAAAUGCGUAGAUAUCGAGAGGAACACUCGUGGCGAAGGCGGGUUCCUGGACAUUAACUGACGCUGAGGCACGAAGGCCAGGGGAGCGAAAGGGAUUAGAUACCCCUGUAGUCCUGGC